CAAUGGCCUAACGGCCGAACCAGCAAUUUGGGGGAAUGAAAGUAUAUAUAGUUGUAUAUAUACAUAUCGACUACGUCGAAUAAAGUUCUAGAUAGGAAACUGAUAAUGACAAUAUUCUAUCUAUAUGUCUUGACCAAAUCUUGUGCCAGCAGUCGCGGCAAUACAAGGAAGACUAGUGUUAUUCAUCUUUAUUAGGUUUAAAGGGUACCUAGACAGUACUUCUAGCCUCCAAAAGGUACAGAUUUACUAGAGUUUUAUAUGAGAGGUAAAUAUUAGGAUCAUUGGUGUAAAGAUAAAAUUUUUUGAUACUAAUGGGAGGGAUAACGGUGAAAACAACCCUUUAUGUAUAAACUGACGUUGAGGGACGAAGGCUUGGGGAGCGAAUAGGAUUAGAUACCCUAGUAGUCCAGGCAGAGAAUUAUGAAUGUUAUAGAUUAAAUAUUUAAUUAGUGUAUAAAUGAAAGUGUAAGCAUUCCACCUCAAGAGUAAUGCGGCAACGCAGGAACUGAAAUCAUUAGACCGUUUCUGAAACCAGUAGUGAAGUAUGUUAUUUAAUUCGAUAACCCUCGAAAAACCUUACCACAAUUUGAAUGAUAUUUAUUAAAAUAUUACAAGCGUUGCACGGCUGUCUUCAGUUAAUGUCGUGAGAUUUUGGUUAGAUCCAGUAAAUUAACGUAAACCCUUACUUUUUUUUAUGCUUAUUUUUCUAUUUUUUAUUUAAUAUAUAGCUAAAGCUAUAUGAGCAAUAUUAAAUACGUUAGGUAAGUAUUAAUAAAGUAGUUCACCGCUACACUGGAUGUGAUAAUAGGGACUAAGACAAGUCAUCAUGACCUUAAUAUUGUGGGCUAU
rnacentral:rRNA from 1 species